rnacentral:rRNA from 1 species
CACGUAGGGCGCGGGCGUUGUCCGGAAUUAUUGGGCGUAAAGAGCUCGUAGGCGGCCUGUUGCGUCCGCUGUGAAAGCCCGGGGCUUAACCCCGGGUUGGCAGUGGAUACGGGCAGGCUAGAGGUAGGUAGGGGAGAAUGGAAUUCCCGGUGUAGCGGUGAAAUGCGCAGAUAUCAGGAGGAACACCGGUGGCGAAGGCGGUUCUCUGGGCAUGUCCUGACGCUGAGGAGCGAAAGUGUGGGGAGCGAACAGG